GGCAGGGUAGCUCAGUUGGUAGAGCAGUGGACUGAAAAUCCUCGUGUCGGCGGUUCGAUUCCGCCCCCGGCCA
rnacentral:tRNA from 1 species